GUGAGGAAUAUUGGACAAUGGGCGCAAGCCUGAUCCAGCAAUGCCGCGUGCAGGAAGAAGGCCUUCGGGUUGUAAACUGCUUUUGUACGGAACGAAACGGUCCUGGUUAAUACCUGGGGCUAAUGACGGUACCGUAAGAAUAAGCACCGGCUAACUACGUGCCAGCAGCCGCGGUAAUACGUAGGGUGCAAGCGUUAAUCGGAAUUACUGGGCGUAAAGCGUGCGCAGGCGGUUUUGUAAGACAGGCGUGAAAUCCCCGGGCUCAACCUGGGAAUUGCGCUUGUGACUGCAAGGCUGGAGUGCGGCGGAGGGGGAUGGAAUUCCGCGUGUAGCAGUGAAAUGCGUAGAUAUGCGGAGGAACACCGAUGGCGAAGGCAAUCCCCUGGGCCUGCACUGACGCUCAUGCACGAAAGCGUGGGGAGCAAACAGGAUUAGAAACCCCUGUAGUCC
rnacentral:rRNA from 1 species